UGGCUCAGAGGUAGAGUGCUUGCCUAGCAUGCAUGAGGUCCUGGGUUCCAUCCCCAG
rnacentral:tRNA from 1 species